GACGAACGCUGGCGGCGUGCCUAAUACAUGCAAGUCGAACGAGUGGCGGACGGGUGAGUAACACGUGGGCACCUACCCAUCAGAGGGGGAUAACACUUGGAAACGGUGGCUAAUACCGCAUACUAUCGGAUGAACCCAUAUGGGAUUAGCUAGUAGGUGGGGUAAAGGCUCACCUGGGCGACGAUCUCUAGCUGGUCUGAGAGGAGGAUCAGCCACACUGGGAAUGAGACACGGCACAGACUCCGAGGGGAGGCAGCAGUGGGGAAUAUUGCACAAGGGGCGAAAGCCUGAUGCAGCGAUGCCGCGUGUAUGAAGAAGGCCUUAGGGUUGUAAAGUACUUUCAGCGGGGAGGCGUUACCCGAAGAAGAAGCACCGGAUAACUCCGUGACAGCAGCCGCGGUAAUAC
rnacentral:rRNA from 1 species